rnacentral:rRNA from 1 species
UCUUUUAUUUUUAACUCUAAUUGUUGUAAUAUUUAUUUUUGUGUUUUUUAUUUUUUUAUUUUAUUUUUGUAAAAUAUUUUAAUUUUUUAUUUUUAAUUGAAUAAAUGUUUAAAAUUUGUUUUGUGAACUGGAUUAGUACCCAGGUAAUCAAAGUUUAUUAAUUCGGGAGUAAAGUUGUAUUUAAACCGAAAAAAUAUUGACUGACUUUAGAUUUUUCUUUGGAAUAUUGUUUAGGAGAGCCCUCCUUAUUUGUUUAAUUUUUUUUGGCACAUGUAUGAUUGUUUUGUUAUUAUGUUAUUUGUAAUGCUUUAAACUUUUUUUGUUUUAAAACAGAUAUAUAUUUGGCUUAUAGAUUUUUUUUGCAUGUAUUACUAUUGUUAAUUUUCUUUGGAUAUUUUUUUUAUUUUUUUUUGAAAUUGGAAAAGAAAGUAAUUUAUUUUUUA